GACGAACGCUGGCGGCGUGCUUAACACAUGCAAGUCGAACGGAAAGGCCCUGCUUUUGUGGGGUGCUCGAGUGGCGAACGGGUGAGUAACACGUGAGUAACCUGCCCUUGACUUUGGGAUAACUUCAGGAAACUGGGGCUAAUACCGGAUAGGAGCUCCUGCUGCAUGGUGGGGGUUGGAAAGUUUCGGCGGUUGGGGAUGGACUCGCGGCUUAUCAGCUUGUUGGUGGGGUAGUGGCUUACCAAGGCUUUGACGGGUAGCCGGCCUGAGAGGGUGACCGGCCACAUUGGGACUGAGAUACGGCCCAGACUCCUACGGGAGGCAGCAGUGGGGAAUAUUGCACAAGGGGCGGAAGCCUGAUGCAGCAACGCCGCGUGCGGGAUGACGGCCUUCGGGUUGUAAACCGCUUUCGCCUGUGACGAAGCGUGAGUGACGGUAAUGGGUAAAGAAGCACCGGCGAACUACGU
rnacentral:rRNA from 1 species